GUUCCAGCUCUUGCUGGAAGGGACGUCAUUUCUGAACACGUGAGGGGUCUGAGUUUCUUUACGACAGCAGCUUCUAUUGAGCGAAAUGGUCAGAAAACCAUUGCUCUAGUUAAUAUUUUAGAUAGUUGCAAGUUACUCCAUUUACCAUAUAUACUUUACAAGUUUCCAAAGAGUUAAAAUACAGAAGGGGCCUUACUUCCAAAUAUGAAGUGUGUGGGUGCACCGGUUGUUUCGAAUUCAGAACGUGUUUUCCACAAUGACAACGUCAUAGAUGCUGUUGAGAUUCCUGGCCGGCUCCUAGAAACCCUUAAUAGUAGAAAACCAUAGGGGGAAACACCAGUAAUUAGACAGAACAGAAUACAAUUGCUUUUUUAAAAGUUAUUUUGAUCCCUGGUGGUCAAAUGAAAAACAUGAUCAUGGGAGGCCAUGGAAGGUGAGCCAUCGAUAUUCCGAAGGGAAGCCGGGAUCCGUCCAAGGGCGUUCGAGAUAAAAGUACCAUGGCUACUGUGACGUAUCCUGACUAAUGCCGACAGCACAGGGAGCCUUUGCCUGCCAGAGGAAGCGGUGAGGAAGAGGUGGUGCGUCGUGCACUUCCUGUUGCUGUUUUAGGACAGCUUGGGCUGAGGAGGGGAUGUUGACCUGCAGAUGACAUCACGGUGGCCACACACGUGCCUGGGGCUGCUGGAGAUGCUGGUUGGGGAGGAGUUUGGCCUUCUGAGGAGGAAGUCCCAGAGCAGACUUUGGCUCAACUCUAAGAAUCUGCGGAAUUCCUAACCGUGACAGACGCUGAUACUGCUGGGGACACAAGACCCUCUUGGCCAGCGUCAGCUCGAGGCACCUCCUCGCCUGCCGACAGUGGCAUGGAGACUGGGGGCUGUGGCAUUGGGGGUGGCUCCAGGGCCUGGGACCCUGGCUCCUGAGCAGCUCUGAGAUUUUUAGGAAGCGAAGGGGCAGAAGAAGGGACUCGCAAGCUCCUGGAGCCAUGUUGGGAGGGGCCCUCGGGGGCCCUGGAGUGGAGAGACACACCCAGAGGCUUUCCAGCCACCCAGGGAGGAGGCGCGGUGGCUGGGAUUUGGAGACAGCUGCGGAGAGAGCAGCUGGAAUGGCCCCACAGGCUACAGCCCGUGUCGGUGUGGGAUGCGAGGGAGAGGAGCCAGGAUGGCCCCACAUGCUUUCCUUGGCUGCCUGGGCGGGUGCAGCAGCCACCUGAGAGGGCCGUCUGAGGACACGAGGCGGCAUCAGCCUCAUGAGAUCUGGGAUGUGCACGGGACGUCCAUGAAGCCGUCGGAGAUGAUUUGGAGUAGUUUACAAAGGUUAACAAAGUUCAGGGAGUCAGGGAAGGGAAAAUUAAGAAAAAGCCCACAGGACAGAGUGGAGCAUGUGGCAAGGUCAGCGGCCGCAUGGACGUCUCCGAUUGUGCUGGCUGUGCUGCUGUGGCCGCGGUGGGGCGGAAGGCCAGACGUCCUCACUUCCCCCCACCCCAGUCCAGUUGUACAUGUUGUGCACUGCACAAGGGCCCUGGCAGAGGGCCAAGUUGGAGCUGAAAUCCAGCCAUGGCAUGGCCCUGUGGGCUGCACACAGCAUAUGGAGGCUGCACUGGUCAGCAGCUGCUCAGCCUGAGAGAGAUCCUGGAGCCCCAUGUGGCAUCUCUGGGUCUGAAUUCUCUCUUGACACAAAGAGGACACCUCCUUGGUCGUUGCUAAGGAAUUUCAACAGAGGAGGGCCCUGCAAGUUCCCAGCGCCAUGCACUGUGCAGCCGAGCCCAACACCCGAAAGCUGCUGUCAGCUGGUCCCUCGGACACUGCUGUGGGCUGGUUCGCCCUCUUGGGCCCUCACUGCUCAGAGCUGCAAGGUGGCUUCGUCACUUUCUUCUGUGCAGUCCCAGCCUUCCAGAUGGUCAGAGACUGCUGGUGCCUCCCUCCACCAUCCCGUUGCUGUCCCCCAGGGCCUCAUCUCUGGGACUUCUCUACCCUACCAUCCCUCACAUUGACACAAAUGUGUACACAGAUGCACACAUGCACACACACAUACAUGCACGUGCACAGAUGAACACACAGACACGGACACACGCACACAUGCACAUGCAUGCAAAGACAUGCACACAUGCAUGCACACACACACACACAUGCACAUGCAUGCAAAGACAGGCACACAUGCAUGCACACACAUAGAUGCACGUGCACAGAUGCACACAGACACACAUGCAUAUACAUGCACAGAGAUGCACACAUAUACACACAGACAUGCACACACACACACUACAGCAUGCGCACACAGACACACACACCCUGCACACCCCAAGCCUCGUCUGCUGUCUCUGCUGUGCCUGCUUCCCAUAGCCCCUGAUACCACCUUCCCCAGGUCUCCCAACUGCUCUGCCUGGACACAGAGAGGGGUCCUGUGAAGUCAGGCCUUGAAGGAGUGGGGGUCUCUCAGCCCCUCUGGAAGCCUCGCUCCAGGACUGUCCCCUCUCCGGCAGAGCAUUCAGGACCAGCAGCCCUCAGCCCUGCAGUGUCCAGACCUGGUUCUGGGGAGCUUGGGGAGCUGGGGAGGUGGGUCAGGACCCAGACACCUUUGAUUGGGACCCAUUUGACAUGAGACAGUGAGUAUCAUCCCUAAAUUAAAUCUUGAUUUCAGAA